GCAGUAGAUAUUCUCCGUAUGGCUGUGAACACUUGUUUUAUAACUUUGAUUCUCACUUUACUUUCUUUCUAAACAAGCCGUCAAAUUACCUCCAUCGCAAACAUGUGUCUUCAACGUUAUGCAUUUGAUUCCAUUUCAUAGCUAUCUAUUUUAGUAAAAAAUUCUACGUUAUAAACUGUACUCAUUCACAACAAUAAAAUACAGUUGUGACUGCACCAGUAUCUGUGUAAGAGACCUCUAAAGUCAAGAGAUGGCUCGGAUUCAAGAUCAAACUAUAUAAUGUCAAAAUACGUUCGUUGAUCACCAAAUAUGGAGUUUCGCUAAGCAAAUCUUCAUUUACUCUCGGCUUUAAAACUGGUAACAAAGAUGUUGAAAGAAGUUAAAACUAAAGAAUAAACCAACGGACCAGUUCAGCUACAAUAAACUUCUCGGCAGGUUGCCAUGGAUAUCACCGCCAAGUGUUGCCAUAAGGAGAUGGAAUGCUAUGGGCAGUGUGUGGCCUCCCACCCUUCAACAUCGGAACAGCACUGUCAAGACCUGAAGAUGAAGGUGGCACAGUGUACCUCGUC